rnacentral:rRNA from 1 species
GAUGAACGCUGGCGGCGUGCCUAAUACAUGCAAGUCGAGCGAACGGACGAGAAGCUUGCUUCUCUGAUGUUAGCGGCGGACGGGUGAGUAACACGUGGAUAACCUACCUAUAAGACUGGGAUAACUUCGGGAAACCGGAGCUAAUACCGGAUAAUAUUUUGAACCGCAUGGUUCAAAAGUGAAAGACGGUCUUGCUGUCACUUAUAGAUGGAUCCGCGCUGCAUUAGCUAGUUGGUAAGGUAACGGCUUACCAAGGCAACGAUGCAUAGCCGACCUGAGAGGGUGAUCGGCCACACUGGAACUGAGACACGGUCCAGACCCCCAGGGGAGGCAGCAGUAGGGAAUCUUCCGGAAUGGGCGAAAGCCUGACGGAGCAACGCCGGGUGGGGGAUGAAGGUCUUCGGAUCGUAAAACUUUGUUAUGAGGGAAGAAAAUAUGUGUAAGUAACUGUGCACAUCUUGACGGUACCUAAUCAGAAAGCCACGGCUAACUACGU